GCCCAAUGAAAAUCCGCCACAAGCAGCCACGCCAUGUUGCGAGCUACUUAGUGCUUGGCAUUCAACGAGGGAUUAUGUGGGCGCCUAUAAAAGAAAAUGUGACUUUCGUUUUAAUACGAAAUUACCAUUAGCCUUAGAAUUAAUUCUGAAGCCAA